rnacentral:rRNA from 1 species
UUCCUACGGGUGGCAGCAGUGAGGAAUAUUGCACAAUGGGCGAAAGCCUGAUGCAGCAACGCCGCGUGAGUGAUGAAGGCCUUUGGGUCGUAAAACUCUGUCCUUGGGGAAGAAAAAAAUGACGGUACCCUUGGAGGAAGCCCCGGCUAACUACGUGCCAGCAGCCGCGGUAAUACGUAGGGGGCAAGCGUUAUCCGGAAUUAUUGGGCGUAAAGAGUGCGUAGGUGGUUCUGUAAGCGUAGGGUGAAAGGGAGUAGCUCAACUAUUGUUAGCCCUGCGAACUGUGAGACUUGAGUGCAGGAGAGGAAAGUGGAAUUCCUAGUGUAGCGGUGAAAUGCGUAGAUAUUAGGAGGAACACCAGUGGCGAAGGCGACUUUCUGGACUGUAACUGACACUGAGGCACGAAAGCGUGGGUAGCAAACAGGAUUAGAUAACCGGGUAGUC